rnacentral:tRNA from 2 species
GGUUCCAUAGUGUAGUGGUUAGCACUCCAGACUUUGAAUCUGGCGACCUGGGUUCGAAUCACGGUGGGACCU